UAGUCAUAUGCUUGUCCUAAAGAUUAAGCCAUGCAUGUGUACGUUCAAGCCCUUGUACGGUGAAACUGCGGAUGGCUCAUUAUAUCAGUGAUAAUUUGGUUGGUGGAGAAUGCUGUGGAUAACCGUGGUAAUUCUAGAGCUAAUACAUGUGGAGCAGACGCAAGUCUGGCAUUUAUUAGAUAAAGCCUUGGCGGGGGGGGUGUAUUCUCUUCCCUGCGCAGGUGAGUAAUGAUAACUGGGCGGAUCGCAAACUAUUUGCGACGCACCAAGGAAAUUUCUGCCCUAUCAACUGUGGAUGGUAGGAUAGGGGCCUACCAUGGUGGCGACGGGUGACGGGGAAUCAGGGUUCGAUUCCGGAGAGGGAGCCUGAGAGAUGGCUACCACUUCCAAGGAAGGCAGCAGGCGCGCAAAUUACCCAAUCCCGAGGCGGGGAGGUAGUGACAGGACAUGACGGGGCGGGGCGCACAGCGCCCUGCGACUGGGUUGAGGAAAAGAUAAAGCGAAUGACGAGAAACGAUU
rnacentral:rRNA from 1 species